UGCGGGGAAGCUAAUCAGGUGAAAGCGCUGCUCUGAAAAGGCAGAGAGGCCGGUUCGAUACCGGCUCCCGCAACCA
rnacentral:tRNA from 1 species